rnacentral:rRNA from 1 species
UACGGAGGAUCCGAGCGUUAUCCGGAUUCAUUGGGUUUAAAGGGUGCGUAGGUUGUUUUAUAAGUUAGCGGUGAAAUACCGAUGCUCAACAUCGGGGCUGCCGCUGAUACUGUAGGACUAGAGAUCGGAUGCAGCAGGCGGAAUGCGCGGUGUAGCGGUGAAAUGCAUAGAUAUCGCGCAGAACUCCGAUUGCGAAGGCAGCAUGCCGGCUCCACACUGACGCUGAGGCACGAAAGCGUGGGUAUCGAGCAGG